UACGUAGGUGGCAAGCGUUGUCCGGAUUUACUGGGCGUAAAGAGCGCGCAGGCGGUCGUUCAAGUCGCGUGUGAAAGCCCCCGGCUCAACUGGGGAGGGUCACGCGAUACUGAUCGACUCGAAGGCAGGAGAGGGUAGUGGAAUUCCCGGUGUAGUGGUGAAAUGCGUAGAUAUCGGGAGGAACACCAGUGGCGAAGGCGACUACCUGGCCUGUUAUUGACGCUGAGGCGCGAAAGCUAGGGGAGCGAACAGG
rnacentral:rRNA from 1 species